ACUCCUACGGGAGGCAGCAGUGGGGAAUAUUGCACAAUGGGAAGACCCUGAUGCAGCCAUGCCGCGUGUGUGAAGAAGGCCUUCGGGUUGUAAAGCACUUUCAGUAGGGAGGAAGGUAGUGUAGUUAACACCUGCACUAUUUGACGUUACCUACAGAAGAAGCACCGGCUAACUCCGUGCCAGCAGCCGCGGUAAUACGGAGGGUGCGAGCGUUAAUCGGAAUUACUGGGCGUAAAGCGCAUGCAGGCGGCCUGUUAAGUCAGAUGUGAAAGCCCGGGGCUUAACCUCGGAAUUGCAUUUGAAACUGGCAGGCUAGA
rnacentral:rRNA from 1 species